rnacentral:rRNA from 1 species
GGGGUUAACCCUGAGCGUGCUUACGAUACGGGUUGACAUGAGGAAGGUAGGGGAGAAUGGAAAUCCUGGUGGAGCGGUGGAAUGUGCAGAUAUCUGGAGGAACACCAGAGGCGAAGGCGGUUCUCUGGGCCUUUCCUGACGCUGAGGAGCGAAAGCGUGGGGAGCGAACAGAGUAAGAUACCCUGGUAGUGCACGCUGUAAACGGUGGGUACUAGAUGUGGGGUCCAUUUCACGGGCUCCGUGCCGUAGCUAACGCCUUAAGUCCCUCGCCUGGGGAGUACGGCCGCAAGGCUAAAACUCAAAGGAAUUGACGGGGCCCCGCACCAACGGCGGAGCCUGCGGAUUAAUUCGGUACAACGCGUAGAACCUUACCCGGGUCUGACAUGGAUCGGGAGUGCUUAGAGAUGGGUGUGCCUCUUUCGGGGUCGGUUCACAGGUGGUGCAUGGGGUCGUCAGCUCGUGUCGUGAGAUGUUGGGUUAAGUCCCGCAACGAGCGCAACCCUUGUUCACUGUAGCCAGCACGUUAUGGUGGGGACUCAGUGGAGACCGCCGGGGUCAACUCGGAGGAAGGUGGGGAUGACGUCAAGUCAUCAUGCCCCUUAUGUCCAGGGCUUCACGCAUGCUACAAUGGCUGGUACAGAGAGUGGCGAGCCUGUGAGGGUCAGCCAAUCUCGGAAAGCCGGUCUCAGUUCGGAUUGGGGUUUGCAACU